rnacentral:rRNA from 1 species
ACGAACGCUGGCGGCGUGCUUAACACCUGCAAGUCGAACGGUGAAGCGCCUUCCUUUUUGGUGGGUGUGGAUGAGUGGCGAACGGGUGAGUAACACGUGAGUAACCUGCCCCCUUCUUCUGGAUAACCGCAUGAAAGUGUGGCUAAUACGGGAUAUUCUGGGUCUGUCGCAUGAUGGGUCUGGGAAAGAUAUUGUUUCGGUGGGGGAUGGGCUCGCGGCCUAUCAGCUUGUUGGUGGGGUGAUGGCCUACCAAGGCGGUGACGGGUAGCCGGCCUGAGAGGGUGGACGGUCACACUGGGACUGAGACACGGCCCAGACUCCUACGGGAUGCAGCAGUGGGGAAUAUUGCACAAUGGGCGCAAGCCUGAUGCAGCGACGCCGCGUGAGGGAUGGAGGCCUUCGGGUUGUGAACCUCUUUCGCCAGUGAAGCAGGCCUGCCUCGUUUGUGGGUGGGUUGACGGUAGCUGGAUAAGAAGCGCCGGCUAACUACGUG